rnacentral:rRNA from 1 species
CGGGACCUACGGGGGGCAGCAGUGGGGAAUAUUGCACAAUGGGGGAAACCCUGAUGCAGCAACGCCGCGUGAGUGAUGACGGCCUUCGGGUUGUAAAGCUCUGUCUUCAGGGACGAUAAUGACGGUACCUGAGGAGGAAGCCACGGCUAACUACGUGCCAGCAGCCGCGGUAAUACGUAGGUGGCGAGCGUUGUCCGGAUUUACUGGGCGUAAAGGGAGCGUAGGCGGACUUUUAAGUGAGAUGUGAGAUACUCUGGCUCAACUUGAGUGCUGCAUUUUAAACUGGAAGUCUAGAGUGCAGGAGG